rnacentral:rRNA from 1 species
CCAAAGGCAUUGCUUAGUAGCGGCGAGUGAGCGGCAAAGCUCAAAUUUGAAAUCUGGCGCCUUCGGUGUCCGAGUUGUAAUUUGAAGAUUGUAACCUUGGGGUUGGCUCUUGUCUAUGUUUCUUGGAACAGGACGUCACAGAGGGUGAGAAUCCCGUGCGAUGAGAUGCCCAAUUCUAUGUAAGGUGCUUUCGAAGAGUCGAGUUGUUUGGGAAUGCAGCUCUAAGUGGGUGGUAAAUUCCAUCUAAAGCUAAAUAUUGGCGAGAGACCGAUAGCGAACAAGUACAGUGAUGGAAAGAUGAAAAGAACUUUGAAAAGAGAGUGAAAAAGUACGUGAAAUUGUUGAAAGGGAAGGGUUUGAGAUCAGACUCGAUAUUUUGUGAGCCUUGCCUUCGUGGCGGGGUGACCCGCAGCUUAUCGGGCCAGCAUCGGUUUGGGCGGUAGGAUAAUGGCGUAGGAAUGUGACUUUACUUCGGUGAAGUGUUAUAGCCUGCGUUGAUGCUGCCUGCCUAGACCGAGGACUGCGAUUUUAUCAAGGAUGCUGGCAUAAUGAUCCCAAACCGCCCGUCUUGAAC